rnacentral:rRNA from 1 species
UGAGGAACAUGACUUUCGGUGGGGGAGUAGCCGGCCCAACGGCCGGGUAAUACCGCGUACGACCUUUUGGGGACAUCCCUGAUUGGUGAAAGCAGCAAUGCGCCGAAAGAGUGCCUCGCGGCCUAUCAGCUAGUUGGUGGGGUAAUGGCUCACCAAGGCAACGACGGGUAGCUGGUCUGAGAGGAUGGCCAGCCACAUUGGGACUGAGACACGGCCCAGACUCCACGGGAGGNAG